GCCUAUGGCCAUACCACCUUGAACGUGCUCGAACUCAUCUGAUCUCGGAAGCUAAGCAGGGUCGGGCCUGGUUAGUACUUGGAUGGGAGAAAUAUCUAGGAGGCCCAUGUGGCUGUAGUGA
ensembl:rRNA 5S_rRNA 5S ribosomal RNA